CAACGUGGGUAACCUGCCCAUCAGAGGGGGAUAACAUUCGGAAACGGAUGCUAAAACCGCAUAGGUCUUCGAACCGCAUGGUUUGAAGAGGAAAAGAGGCGCAAGCUUCUGCUGAUGGAUGGACCCGCGGUGCAUUAGCUAGUUGGUGAGGUAACGGCUCACCAAGGCCGUGAUGCAUAGCCGACCUGAGAGGGUGAUCGGCCACAUUGGGACUGAGACACGGCCCAA
rnacentral:rRNA from 1 species